CGAGGGCUGCCCUGGUUACUUUGACUUCCUGUGCCGUAACUUGCUGUGUAUAGACCAGGAACUUCUGUGUGACGGACUUGACCACUGUGGGGAUGGUUCAGAUGAAAGCCCUGCCGUUGACUGCUCUGUGUCUGAACUAUUGAAACACACGUUCAAGUGGAGUAUGCCUUAUAUAGUCGAUACAACUGUAGCUAACAAGCCGUACUGUCAAGGGAUUGUGUGCGGUGCAAAGUGUAUAGUUUUAGAUCAACUCUGUGAUGGGGUAGUGGAUUGUGAGGACAGUAUGGAUGAAAGUAGCUGUGCUAAAAAAGUGCACAGAUCAGGAAGUCCUAUGUUAACUAAACCUAUUUUUCUGCUAGCAUUUUUAUUGGCUUGUUAUUUCAUUGGUUUGAAACAAGGGAGAUGAUAAACUGAACAAAGGCAGCACUUCUUCAGCAUUUAUUUUGUCAAUGUGUUUUCAUUCAUCAAGAUACAACACUUGGACCUCGCAGUGACUUCAUUCUAGUUGGAUUUCUAAACAAAGCUACAAUUUAAUUUCUUCCAACUGAUCUAGGCUAAAUGUUCGUUGAACUCCAAAAUGUCUAUGGAUACAAUACAAAUAUUGAACUGUUCAACUCUGAUGAAGUCUUUAUGUUAAAUAAAAGGAUAUGAACAAAAAAAAAAUAUUGCAAGAAAAACAACAUAACUUUAUGUUACUUUGGAAAAGCUAGAUCGUUUUUUUUUUUUUUAAUUUCUAUUGUUUACCACAGAAACUAGGUCAAAAACUUCACAAUAUUGUUUAGUGUUCUCUCCACAAUGUUCUAUAGAUAUCUUAAAGUUCACUAUCACAAUUUCUGUUAUUGAUCUGAAUUUUUUUUUCUUUUUUUUUUUGGACAUAAAUUUGUUGCUUUUAAGAACAUUUUGAAAAAAAUAGUUCAUUUUUCAUUCUCAUAGUGAAAUAGUUUCCUUCUUUUGGACUUCAGAAUAAAAGUGAGCAAAAUAAUGGAGUGGCUGAUGUGAACAUCUUUGUAGAGCAUUUUAUGUUCAAAAAAACAUGAGUUUAAUAUUUUGUUGGUUUUUCCAGAGCUGGAUUUGGGGGAAGGCAGGUGGGGCUACUUCCCCAUAGAAAAAAGUUCCUGAAGUUCCAUUUGUUAAUACAAUUAAUUUAGUUUUUAAUAAAUUGUAUUUCAAUUUAACUAAUUACUACAUUCUUUGUUUCAAUCAUUUUAUGUGUUGGUAAUACAUUUGUCUAAGAUAUGACGGAAAACUAUUGUUUCUUGCUUUUGAAAAACAAAAUUAUGGGGCUUCUGCUCUUGCUUGCCCCAGCGCCUCUAGACCUAUAAAUCGGGCCCUGGGUAUUUCCUAUAAGUUACAAAGUUGUAUUGCAGUAAAUGGUCUGAGAUGAAUACUGCUUGUCAACAUACAGGACUAAGUUAGUUUUAAGUUAUUAUUUAUCUCACAAACUGAAUGCUAUAUUUGUGAUAUUGUAUAAUUAAUUAUGUGUCAAGUCUUUGUGAUAUUGUAUUCAUAUGCUUGGAUUGUAAUAAGCUGUAGACUUGUUCUUAUUUACUUUUGUUGGUCAAAUUAAUAUGAGGUGUUCAUGCAGUAUUUCAUUUGGUCUGUUUUCAGCAUCAUUUUUUUCAACUACAUUUUGUGUCUAUGUUAUCUUAAGUAUUUAGUUGUAAAUGUUUUUCAAGUUAUAAUAAUUGUUACAAUUAUUGACCUAAUUUUGUAACAGCUUGUAUAAAAUAAGGUUUUAAGAGAUGCAAACUGCUCAUGAUUCUAGUCUAAUUAUAAUCUAAUUAUAUACAAAUGUGCAUAUUAAGUGGAAAGUGAGCUUAGUGUCCAGAUGGUCAAAGUUCUCAUUUGGGUUUUAGGUUAACAGUGAAUGCUAUUUUUUUUUAAAUCUUGAGACUUUGAAACAGCUCUGAUGUUAUCAAUUGUGUGGGUACCUUCACUAGUUUGGACAAAUUUUAAUUUGCCUAUGGUUAAGGUUACUGACGAUAGAGAGAUGUGAACAUAACACCUGGUCUGAUCAGUAGUUCUUCAAUAUUUUUCUUGCAGUCUCUGUUCAAUACAGGAGAGCUAUUUAGUUCAAUCAAACUUUAAAUAUGUCACAUUAACCAGAGAGAACUUAUUGUGGUCUGCUUGUUCAUAGAUACCAGCAAGUGCUUUCUCUAGCCAAGUGUCUGCACUCUAACAGAAUGUCUGUAUUCUAGCAGAGAGUCUGUUCUGUAGCAGGGUGUAUGAUGUUACAAUUAAAAUAAACUCUAAUUGUUUUGUACUGCUAUGUCUAUCUCAACCCUGAUAGUUGUGCUCAAUUGAAGGAUGUAUUGAUGUCACUACACAAGACUCACUGUUAUUUUCAAAUGCAUUUUUAAAAACAUUCUUUGUGCCUGAUACAAUCUGUUUAUAUCUCAAUUAAAACACCAAAAGUUUCAUUGACAUCUUUUUUUUCUUCUUUCUCAUGAGCUCAAAUGUUUAAAAAAACAAAACAGUUUUGUGGUUAUUUAAUGUACAAUAACAUCACUUUGCCUUUAGACUAAAAUAACAUAACUUUGCCUUUAGACAAAAUAACAUAACUUUGCCUUUAGAC
rnacentral:sRNA from 1 species